GAUGAACGCUGGCGGCGUGCCUAAUACAUGCAAGUCGAGCGAACGGACGAGAAGCUUGCUUUUCUGAUGUUAGCGGCGGACGGGUGAGUAACACGUGGAUAACCUACCUAUAAGACUGGGAUAACUUCGGGAAACCGGAGCUAAUACCGGAUAAUAUUUUGAACCGCAUGGUUCAAAAGUGAAAGACGGUCUUGCUGUCACUUAUAGAUGGAUCCGCGCUGCAUUAGCUAGUUGGUAAAGUAACGGCCUACCAAGGCAACGAUGCAUAGCCGACCUGAGAGGGGGAUCGGCCACACUGGAACUGAGACACGGUCCAGACUCCUACGGGAGGAAGCAGUAGGGAAUCUUCCGCAAUGGGCGAAAGCCUGACGGAGCAACGCCGCGUGAGGGAUGAAGGUCUUCGGAUCGUAAAACUCUGUUAUUAGGGAAGAACAUAUGUGUAAGUAACUGUGCACAUCGUGACGGUAACUAAUCAGAAAGCCACGGCUAACUACGUG
rnacentral:rRNA from 1 species